UCGUUGCCCCUCGAAAAACACGACCGUUGCACACGUGACAGAAUGCUGUCGGGGAGGUGCUUGCUGCCUUCUCGGCCCCACCGGCCUCGUUCCUCUAGCCCUUCGGGCGAGUUGGAUGCUGGCCGGAAUACGGCGCGGGAUGACGCCAAGGAACACGAUAAAAGCUAAGGCACCGGCCGUAGCCGCUAAAGGGCUUGCGUCGGAUGCCAAGGCCAAUGAAAAGAAUAUGACUCUCGGCAACGGAUAUCUCGGCUCUCGCAUCGAUGAAGAACGUAGCGAAAUGCGAUACGUGGUGUGAAUUGCAGAAUCCCGUGAACCAUCGAGUCUUUGAACGCAAGUUGCGCCCGAGGGACCCUCCCGAGGGCACGCCUGCCUCAUGGGCGUUAGAAGCCCAUCCACGCUCGGUUGCCUAACGGCAGAGAUGCGGACAUUGGCCCUCCGAACCGCGAGGUACGGUGGGCCUAAGUGUGYGGCCGUCGUAUGUGGCCGGGAGCGGCGAGUGGUGGGCUACUGCGCAAGUCACCCCGAGCCCCGUACCGACGCAGGGCCUUUUUUGACCCCUAACGAGGAGCUUGCCGUUGCAGCUGGCGCUGCGCGGCGCCUUCGGACC
rnacentral:rRNA from 1 species